rnacentral:rRNA from 1 species
GUCCACGCCGUAAACGAUGGAUACUAGCUGUUCGGUUGCAAGACUGAGUGGCUAAGCGAAAGUGAUAAGUAUCCCACCUGGGGAGUACGAACGCAAGUUUGAAACUCAAAGGAAUUGACGGGGGCCCGCACAAGCGGUGGAGCAUGUGGUUUAAUUCGAUGAUACGCGAGGAACCUUACCAGGGCUUAAAUGUAGGUUGACAGGACUGGAAACAGUUUUUUCUUCGGACAACUUACAAGGUGCUGCAUGGUUGUCGU